CCCGGGUGUGGCCACUUUGCCCUCCCUGCUCCCUGCCCCAUAUAAGCAGAGCAGGAGGAGCCCAGCCCCAAGCUGGGCCCAUUGCGGGCCAAGGGAUCCUCCGCCGGCAUCCCAGGUUCUGCGGUGGAUGCAGACAUGGAGCAGGAGCAGAACUGGAGCUGGGAACGGAGCAGGAGCCUCGAAAGUUUUGUUCUAGGUUCUGCGGUGGAUGCAGACAUGGAGCAGGAGCAGAACUGGAGCUGGGAACCGACCAGGAGCAGCAGCUGGGAAUGGAGCUGGGAACGGAGCAGAAGCGGUAAGGGCUGGCUGGAGGAGCACAGGGGCCGGAGCUGCAUUCAGCUGCCCGGGGGCAGGCAGCGCUGCCAGGACCCUGGCGCACACCCGCACAGGCUGUGCCGUGCCCCGGCAGGAGCUUUUGCAGCAGCUGCUCUCCGCUGCGGGUUCAGUGUCCUGCUGCAAGGAGGCUCUGCCUGCAGCUCAGAGCUGCCUUGCACCGUCUCAAGGCGCUCUCCAGGAAGGAGUCCCUCAGCCUGCUCUCAGCUCUCCUUCAGCUGCUGAAACGUAGCUCGAAGGUCUCCCUGGAGCCUUCUCCUCUCCAGGCUGAGCAGCCACAGCUCUCUCAGGCUGCCUUCACAGCAGAGCUUCUCCCACCCUCUGCUCAUGUUUGUGGCCUGCUCUGGAAGCCCUCCAGCAGCUCCCUGGCUCCCUUGUGUUGGGGGUGCCCCAGAGCUGGCCACAGCAGUCCAGGCUGAGCUCUCCCCAAAGCAGAGGGGCAGAUGGUUCACAAGCACAGACCCCACAGGCUGCCCAACGACCUUCCCACACUGCAGCUGCAG